rnacentral:rRNA from 1 species
GGAUGCGAUCAUACCAGCACUAACGCACCGGAUCCCAUCAGAACUCCGAAGUUAAGCGUGCUUGGGCGAGAGUAGUACUGGAAUGGGUGACCCUCCGGGAAGUCCUCGUGUUGCAUCCCU